CAUAAUACACUCUUCUUCUUCAAAGCAAAUGAUGAGAAAAACAAAAAUCCUUGAGUAACUAAAUACACAAAACAAGAACAAAACACGAACAAAGGCAUUUAAUUUGUGAAAUAAUACUCCAUUUUUAAGAGAGAGGAAAAUUGACUUGGGGUGAUUCUGUCAGUAGCAAAUUCAAUGACUUUCGCUGCAACAUAUUAAGGUACACACUAUUUUUUCUCCAAAUUUGCUAUCAAUGACAUCAGAGACACGUUAAUUAUCUUAAUUUUGCAUGUAUUAUCAUGAGUUUAAAUGUGAAAAACUCUUAAAAAAUUGUGUAUAAAACAUACUGUUAGAAAAAAUUUAUAACCGAAUGUAAUAAAAAUUUUUGGAGAUCCGGUCAGAAGCGCCACCAUUGCGCUUUGGUUCUGGUCAAUCGCGUCACUAUUGGGAAUUGAUCUGCUCAGUCGCGCCACCUCGUUGUAGACCUGACUAGUUUUUCUAAAAAAACAAAUCUGUGCAAUUCCUUUGUUUUUCUUUUGAAACAAAGGUAUAUUGUAAGAUACAAUGUAAAAUUUUUAUUAGAAGAUAAAAUAAGUGCGAAAGAUAGAGAUCCUAAACUGUUUGGUAAGCUUGUUACCAGGUGGCUUGUUUAGAAAGAGGGUUAGCCAUGUGUGAAGAUGUGUAAUUGCAUGAUCUUUUUAAAUACAUGUCUCCCUUAGAAGAUAAAAUAAGUGUUUAUCUGUUGAAUAAGAACAAUAGCUGUUUGUUUACUUUAAAUGAGGAAAAGGAUUUUUUUUAAUGUUUAUGAAUAUAGGAGAAAGUGAUGUGCACUUUGGUUACUUAAAUGGAUCAAAACUGUGUAGUAAUUUUAUAUAAUGUUUUUUGGGGGGUUUUUGUUUUCUUAUUAAGGUGAGAAUAUCAUAUUAAGGUCAGGGGUGGAUGUAGAGUUAAACGUGCGGGUUCCCGGGAACCCAAUAACUUUCGUACGGUUCUUGAAUUUAUAUUGAAAAAACUAGUAAAUAUAUAAGAAUUAUAAGUUGAAAACCCACAAACAAAGUGUGUUAUUGAUCUAGUGGUAAAAAUUAUAAGUUAGGAACCCACAACUUUUAAAUUCUAGAUCCGCCUCUGAUUAAGGUGGAAUAGUGAAUCCUUUUAUAAUUUUAGUUAAAUAAGUAUUUCAAUUAGACUUGAUAUUAUUUUGUCUUAGUUAGUCCCUAAUUUUUUUUAAAACAGAUUUUGCCUUCUACGAUAAAUUGUGACAUAAGUGUCACAUUGAGUGGUUAAACCAUUCUUAUUGUUUCUUGGUUUCUAUUUUAGAAAUGGCUGAACGGGAACAAACUCGAAUCACUUUAAGUGGGAGUUCUGGAUGUCGAGCAAAGAAAUAAAGUGGAAGAGCACGUCGUCGAAGGGCAUAUUUUCGAGAUCGUGAGAUCAUACAAAAUGGUGUCCCCAUGGCGAUACAAAAUUUGUUUUGAAAUGAGAGGGCUAUACGAAGGGAAAGACAUAAGAAAUUAAAGAGUUUAAGUCCUUUAAGAUUUCAGCUAGUAUUAUAAUUGCUAGUUUCAUAUAUUUAUUUGAAUUAAAACGUUUAGAACUGAAAAAUUAUGUAGAAAUCUCGGAUUGAGAAGCAUUAGCUAUUUUAGCAAAUUCUCUCCGUUAUCUUUGGGG
rnacentral:lncRNA from 1 species